AAUUGCUUAUUCAAUAUCUAAAAUCCGUCUUUCUGGGUCAGCCUUUAUUGCCAUUGAAUGAUUAUGACCCUGCUUCGUUUAUUUGUCAUUUAAUAUGAAUUUUUCUUAGGUUCUUCCAUUUCCGCUCUAGAUUUUGUGUCCUUAUUCUCAACUAAUAUAUGCACCCUUUUGAACUGGAUUGGUAUUUGAAUGGCUAAUAUUCUGGGUCUUCAUGACAACGCUUUUGGAGUGUGUCCUCUCAAUUUCAAGCUUCCUGGUCUAUCUUUUAUCAUCAGAUUUCUCUGCUAUUUAUUGUAUUUCUUCUCUGUUAUAGCACUCUGGAUUAACAUCUGAGCUUAUCUUGCUAACUGAUCUCAAAUACUCAUUUAUGCAUAAUUUAGGUUUCCCUUGCCUAGGCGUGUUGCUACAAAAGUUGGAGAAUCCAGCACUACGUGCCUGCUUGAAAGUGCCAUCUAAUGAGGUUAAUCUCUUUUAAAUCUACCUGUUGCAGCAAUAGUAUUUUGUUGGCUGUUUCGUAGGGAUGCUUGCAGAAAUUUGUUAUUAACUGUGCAAUUAGAAUUGUUUGUUAUCACCCGUCAUUCAUGCCUCUUGCUUAUAUGAGGAGUCCUUUUAGUUCUUUUGUUAGAGUUUGAAGUGGGAGGUUAUGCAAUUGUGGGAUGCUGGAAUUGGCAAGUGUGCAACAACGUGUAGAGUUGAACUUUUGUGGGUGCGUGAAAUAUGGCAGUGAUGUGGUUGCUAGAAGAUGGAUGGGGGUGCAAAUGAAGUUCAUAGUUCUGUUGGGGAUGAUUUGGGAGGUUCUCUUAAGGAGGAUGGAUUAGAGAUUUGUGAUCCAUAAUGAAUUGAUGAGCAGUGGGUAGUUGUAUACUUGAACGUGCUUAAUGCUAGUAUUUCUGAGGGUGUCCUGGUGAGAAGAGUUGAAGCCACUUCUGAUGCUAGCAAUGUCUUGAAAGAGAUUUGCAGAGCUUGGUAUUAUUAUUAUUAUUAUUAUUAGAGCAGGAGCAGGAGCUUCAAGCAGUUCUCAAUCCACGUACGUACGUGUGCCAUUUGGUCCCUUAUCACAUCGAUCCAAGGAGGUCAGUCAGCCUUCCUAUUUAAUCGUUGCUGGUUUGGUGUUUACACCACUGUCUGUCCGAACCACUCAUAGCUAGA